rnacentral:rRNA from 1 species
GACGAACGCUGGCGGCGUGCCUAAUACAUGCAAGUAGAACGCUGAAGGAGGAGCUUGCUUCUCUGGAUGAGUUGCGAACGGGUGAGUAACGCGUAGGUAACCUGCCUGGUAGCGGGGGAUAACUAUUGGAAACGAUAGCUAAUACCGCAUAAUAGUAGAUGUCGCAUGACAUUUGCUUAAAAGGUGCAAUUGCAUCACUACCAGAUGGACCUGCGUUGUAUUAGCUAGUUGGUGAGGUAACGGCUCACCAAGGCAACGAUACAUAGCCGACCUGAGAGGGUGAUCGGCCACACUGGGACUGAGACACGGCCCAGACUCCUACGGGAGGCAGCAGUAGGGAAUCUUCGGCAAUAGACGGAAGUCUGACCGAGCAACGCCGCGGGAGUGAAGAAGGUUUUCGGAUCGUAAAGCUCUGUUGUAAGAGAAGAACGAGUGUGAGAGUGGAAAGUUCACACUGUGACGGUAGCUUACCAGAAAGGGACGGCUAACUACGUG